AUUGAACGCUGGCGGCGUGCUUUACACAUGCAAGUCGAGCGGCAGCACGACCUUCGGGUUGGUGGCGAGCGGCGAACGGGUGAAUAAUACAUCGGAACGUACCUUUUAGUUGGAAACGACUGCUAAUGCCCUAUAUGCCUUUAAUACAUAAGUAUGCAAGGGAAACGCUUUAGUGCUUGAGGAUGGGACUGUAUGGUAUCAGCUUGUUGGUGAGGUAAUGGCUCACCAAGGCUAUGACGCCUAACUGGUUUGAGAGGAUGAUCAGCCACACUGGGACUGAGACACGGCCCAGACUCCUACGGGAGGCAGCAGUGGGGAAUCUUAGACAAUGGGGGAAACCCUGAUCCAGCAAUGCCGCGUGAGUGAAGAAGGCCUUCGGGUUGUAAAGCUCUUUUGUCAGGGAAGAAACACCGGCUCUAACACAGUCCGGGAAUGACGGUACCUGAAGAAUAAGCACCGGCUAACUACGUG
rnacentral:rRNA from 1 species